GGGGAGGAGAGAAGGAGAGAGAGGAACUGCUGGGGAGGGUUCAGAGACAGCAUCGUGUUGGCUAGAUGGCAGUAAGUGGAAGUGGAAGUGAUUCUCCUGGAGGUGAACCGGGAGGGGAAGUUCGGACGGGAGCAGAAGGAGGACGACCGUCUGAAGCACUGCUGGGCCCAGGUGCGACUGAUAGAGGGGGUCGACCAGAGCCCCGACCUGAGACUCCCCGCUUCGUACUUCCUCGUCCGGAACGGGCUCCUCUACCAACGGACCUGCCACCGCGGGGAGCAGGUGGACCUACUGGUGGUCCCCAAACCCAGGACACCCACCGUCAUGCAUCUGGCCCAUACACAUCCACUCGGCGGCCACCUGGGGCCACGAAACACCCUGGAGAAGCUGAGGGAUCGCUUUGUGUGGCCCGGGAUGGACGCGGAUGUCCGGGCCUUCUGCCAGCAAUGCCCGCAGUGCCAGCACACGGCCCCACGGCCACCCCCCCCCGGCUCCCCUUAUCCCUCUACCCAUCACCAGCGUCCCCUUCGAGCGUGUGGGAAUGGACCUCGUCGGCCCCCUACCCAAGUCUGCCCGGGGCCACGAGUACAUCCUGGUCAUUGUGGACUACGCCACUCAGUACCCCG
ensembl:lncRNA